AACGAACGCUGGCGGCAUGCCUAACACAUGCAAGUCGAACGAGACCUUCGGGUCUAGUGGCGCACGGGUGCGUAACGCGUGGGAACCUGCCCUUAGGUUCGGAAUAACUCCCCGAAAGGGGUGCUAAUACCGGAUAAUGUCUUCGGACCAAAGAUUUAUCGCCUUUGGAUGGGCCCGCGUUGGAUUAGCUAGUUGGUAGGGUAAAAGCCUACCAAGGCGACGAUCCAUAGCUGGUCUGAGAGGAUGAUCAGCCACACUGGGACUGAGACACGGCCCAGACUCCUAGGGGGGGCAGCAGGGGGGAAAUUUGGAAAGGGGGGAAAAGCCUGACCCAGCAAGGCCGGGUGGGUGAUGAAGGCCUUGGGGUUGAAAAGCUCUUUUACCCGGGAUGAUAAUGACAGUACCGGGAAAAAAAGCCCCGGCUAACCCCGG
rnacentral:rRNA from 1 species